ACCUUCUGCACAGUUGCUAGCAACCCCAGUUAACUAGGCUCUGGAAGUACACAUCAAGAGGGGGACUUGGGUGCCGAGUACACUGAAUCUCUGCAUCAUUGCCUAGCUACUGUUCACAAACGAGAUGACAGUUCAUUGAACUACAAAUCAAAAGUCCACAGUUUGGAUGUCACCUUGCUUUGCUCCAGGCUCCAACCCAUCUCCAAUACGGAAGCAACACCAGUAGUUAUUACAAGAAGAAUGGAUGUGAAUAGUACUAUAUAAAUGGCAAGAGUGUUAUUGUAUUAAAGAGGCGCACUGCUACGUAUCUGGCACAGACAAAGUUAACUCCCACAGCCAAAGCACCUGAGAGGCCCAUAUUUUGUUAUGUCAUAAUAAUUUAUUUCAACAUGAUUACAGCAAAGGAAGCAAAAACAUAUAUUCACCCAACCCAAAGAACCCGAAGCCAACAGGAACGAAACACAAAAGGGUCUAGCUAGAGUUCCACAGGUGGCAGAAACAUGGAAGAUGGCACAGGAAGAAGUGAUUUACUGACAAAAAUUUUAAUCCAUAAAACAUGUCCUGUAUCUUUUGAAAAAUAUUUUUGCUACUGAGUGAUCUUCUAUUAUUCUCUUUCUAUAAAUAAUAUUUAGAAAUCUACUGAAAAACGGAAUAAACUUGACUGGGAAACAAACUUCUUUUGCAAAAUUGAAAUGACCCUCUGUAGUUCUGGGAAACACACCUAAUUUCCAACCAACACCCCCCCCCCUCCCCCCGCAAGGCACUAAGAAAAGGAUUUCAGUACAGGUGCUUUGCAAAAAUGUCCAGAUUUUGCUUUUACAUCUUAGCAGUUUGUUUACAAGUGUUGAUAAUUACUUGAGCAGACAUAUAUUGUAUCUCUUCGUAUUUGUUUCUUAACUUCAUGAUUAAAGGCUUAUGCCAAAACAGGAACAGGCCAAUAUCCUGUUGAAAUUCUAGGCCGAUGUCCUGUUCUGCUUCUUAAAUACAAUUGAAGUUGAACACUAUCUUGAAAGUCCUCAGCUACUUUUUGCGGUAGUAGCCGUAGUUCUAUCUUUCAAAAAGACUGUAGCUGAAUCACCAUCUGUUUUUGUAAUUUGGGUGUUGUGCUAAUAUAAGUUUUGUUCUAAUAUACAUUUUUCUGGAAACACAUAUACGCAAUAUAAUAAAAGCUGAUGUUUUUCUGGGAAUUUUUGAUGUUGGUGUGGUGAUCCAACCGACAUGUGUUGGAGUUCAAUCCAAACCAAUGAAAAGAAAAUCAAGACAGACUCCAGUGACAUGACCAAUUCAGCAUGCCCGUCACUCUCAAGACUGGAUUAAGCUCAAAAUGUCCUGAAACACCUAUAUACAAUAUAAUACACAUACUUCUAUAUUGUACCAAACAUUUAUUUCAUGGGCCCACUUUUCCAUGACUCAGAUCUGAGGUCCUUUUUAGCAUUCCACUUUUAUUCAGCUAAUUUUUGGUACCAGUAACUAGACCAACACAUAUUUUUUAUUUGUUAUUCUGAGAGAUUUUACCAGCAUUUUUGAUGUAUUGGCUUCCCUGGGCAAUCUAUACCGUGAGAAACACAGUAUACUGGUUAUACUAUAUUUAUUUUUUAACUUUGUGCACUACCUUGACCAGGUCUCUGGAGAGGUGAUAUAGACAUCUCAAAUUAAACCCAUUCCUGGCUGUACUUCCCACGGCCUUUUAAAUGACACUGUGACAGCCUACAGAAUGCUUGCAUGAUCUUGGUUCCUAUCACUGGAAAGAAGGCAACUUCCACUAGUUUUUUUAUUAUAUAAGUCAACAGAUCUGAACAGAUCUUUCCUUUUUGCUGCCAGAGAUCGUAAUACCUGAUAUUGGAAAUAAUCCCAAAUACCCAUGCCUUUUCAGGACACAGCAGAAAAACUCCGUUCCGGCACUGAGCCUUCUCUCCGUCGACCAAGCGACAGACGGAUGAGCCAGGAGGCCGCCGCGCAACUGAGAACAUGAUGGUUUUGAAAUGAUACAAUGGAUGACUUGUCUGUUGGCUUGACCGAGCCACUGAUGGUAAGGGGAAAUUAACUAGGGCCACUAAGGUUUCCGGUUUAGAAUGCGGUUUCAACUGGAGGAGACAACAUGAGGAUCAUAGAAUACUGCUGGACAACACAGGGGCCAAUCAGAAUGAGGCCGUGCUCGCUUUGGCAGCACAUAUACUAAAAUCGGAACGAUACAGAGAAGAUUAGCAUGGCCCCUGCGCAAGGAUGACAGGAGUCAAUGAGGAGAAAUGGGAGAAAAGACUACAAAGAAUGAACUUACUGCUGUUUGUUUGACAAAACUAUGAAAAAUAUAGAGGGAGGGGAAAAAAGGGGAAAAUGUAUUGUUUGAAAACAAAUGAAGAAAAGCAUCAAUAUAAAAUGUAAUACUCAAAUGAUACAAUAAUUUUUUUUUAAAAAAUCAGAACGAGGCCUGGCAAUUGUCAGCAGUUGAUUGGUAGGUGCCUUCCUGAGCCAGCGUACAAGAGAAAAGAAGGAAAAGAGUGGGAGCGUGUGCUCCCUCCGGACAGGCAGCUGGAAGGAAGGGAGGUGGUCAGCAGAAGUACAAGCCGAGAACUUCAGAAAGCUGGAUGGAUGAGAAGCUAAAGGCAAGGAGGAUUCCCUCAGACAGAAAUCAGGAGUACAGAUAGGCCGGAAAGGGCCUGAGAGGAUGAGCAGAAUGCCUCGGAAGAUGCCAAGGUAGUUUGAUUCAACUGACUACAAGCAUUGAAAGACUGAAAGGGUUCCUAAGUGAAGCUGAAAGGCCAGCUGGGAUGUAAUACUUGUGGGGUAGAGGAUUAGAAGGAUGUGGCUAUGUUUCAAAGGGGGCUCCUUCAGCCUCAGCUGCGACCGCUUCCCCCAGUAUGAUCAUCAUGGCAGGGCCCACCAACUGCCCACUUGGCAACCUCCAGGGAAAGGGCGUUUCCAGUCUCUCUUGAAAUCAGCUCCCCGGGGCGGUUUGUGCCCAACGGGAUCUAUCCAGCAUUCUGUAGGGAACGCAAGGCUGCUUUGUUUCCAGUGGUCUCUGGUUACUGUUCUAAUUUGCUGUUAAGUUGGGGUUUUAAUCAGUUUAAUUGUUCUAUUUCUUGCAUUUAUUUGUAUUUGUGUUGUAUUUGCAUUUAUUGUAUUUGAAUAUAUUGAAAUCACCCCAAGUUCACUGUAGGGAGAGGGUGAUUGGAAUAAAUAAUUUU